GCUCUCCACCAUUCAUUCUGCUGCUACUGAAGUUACAUAUAUCCACCUGAAAACUAUGUUAAUACUUUAUAAUUUACAUAUUUCCUUUGCUGACGUUUUUUCACAGGAAAAGCUUCGUUCCGUUAAUCAUGGUCUAUCAACGAAAAUAAAGAAAAGAAUUACUGCUUUUUGUCGUAGGGAUGUUGUCAUGUGCAUCAAAAGAAAAGAAAGAACUGUGUGGAUGGCAUCCUCCCACGUCUCAUGGUUCCAUCCAAAGAAAGACUUUGUACUCGUCAAAGUCUACCUAUAUGUGCUUGCUGAAUAUAAAGCAUUCAAGGUGAAUUAUUCGCUAUCAGACGUCCAUUUCAUCCCACUAUUUCCACUAGUUACUAAGAGGAAGAAAGCAUAAGAUUUUCGAUGCGUCGCAACAUCGACAUGUACCAGACCAGGAGUCGAAAAGGAUGCUCGUCCUUCCCUGUCUUGUGACUUUGGCAUCAAACUUAGGGGUGAGAUUUCCAGAGCCCAGGAUUUUUGGCAGGUGAAAGUUAAGAGAGAUUCACAUUAACUACAUUCCAACAAUAAUUCGACCCCU
rnacentral:lncRNA from 1 species